AAUGGCAAACAGCUGCAGUCAUUAAUGUUAUCUCAGGGGAUCUGGGCUUUAACAGCGAAGGUCCCAGGUUCAGAUCCUGUUGACAGACUGUAAGAUUAAUACUAACAAUCUUGCCUAGCAAAAUACUGCAGGGAUCACCUUCUCUGAGGCCUCAGGUGCUUGGGAGAGCAGGCGGCCGAUGAUGUAUGAGGCAUGGUGUUGUCCUCUUGGCUGGACUGAUGGUUUCACAUCAUCCAAGCCAAAUGUCUGCUCUCCAUUAGGACCAAGGGAUUUUUGCUAUGUUCCGGGUGUUUCUACUGCCUUCUUUUGCUGCUGCAACAGAGGAGAUGCUGGAGAUACCAUCCAAGCCAUGCCCUUCAGCCCCCCAUACCUACCAGCUAACAGUGGGAUGUGAAUGGGGAUUACAAAACAGCAAAUUCCUGGGUCAGAAUGGGACCAGUGCAUCUGUAGCCUUUGACUUCUAACAUUCAGUGCAAGGCAGGGUACCUGCUGCUGGUGGUAAUUCAAAAGUGGGGCAAGAUGAUCUCACUAAAGCAAAACCACUGAGAUGAAAAGGAUGAGAUAACAUCAGCCACGUUUGUCAAAUCAGCUGGACAGAGCUCUUGGUCCAGCUUUGAAUAGACCUCUGCCUGCAUGGCGCUGCCUCGAAAACACCAACCUUCACUUCCAUCCCCUGGGCCACAGGAGAGGGCAGAGGAGCCACCAGCUACAGAUAAGGUUUGGCUGUGGUAAUAAGGAGGCCACUGCAGCCAUGAUUAAUCUGUUUUCUACAGUCUCCACAGCCCGUGUGGUGUGAAAAGCUGGACAAGGAUUUGUAAAUGAAUUGAGCCCAAGAGUAAUUACACGUUCCUGCAGAUUACUUGGUGCCGUAAUUGCACUUAGUAUUUACCAUGUGACCUAAGCCAGAAAUAAUCAUGUAUUUACUUUAUAUUUAUAUUGUAACGUGCCAUGUACUGUAAUUAUACUGCCACUCCAUGGUACUUAACACAUCAUCGAAUGUUCCACAAUUAUCAUGUUAGUAAAUAGCACUUACUGAGAUUUGUGGCCUGUAAU